AUUGAACGCUAGCGGGAUGCCUUACACAUGCAAGUCGAACGGAGUGGGGAACGGGUGAGUAAUGAAUAGGAAGGUGCCCAGUAGCGGGGGAUAAAUAAGAGAAAGCGUAGAUAAUGACGCAGAAGAUAGGAGCGGCCGAUGUCGGAUUAGCUAGUUGGUGGGGUAACGGCUCACCAAGGCGGCGAGGCGUAGCCGGUUUGAGGGGACGAUCGGCCACACUGGGACUGAGACACGGCCCAGACUCCUACGGGAGGCAGCAGUGGGGAAUUUUGGACAAUGGGGGAAACCCUGACCCAGCCAUCCCGCGUGAGCGAUGAAGGCCUUCGGAUUGUAAAGCUCUUUUGUCAGGAAAGCGGUACCUGCAGAAUAAGCACCGGCUAACUACGUGCCAGCAGCCGCGGUAAUAC
rnacentral:rRNA from 1 species